rnacentral:rRNA from 1 species
UAGGGAAUCUUCCACAAUGGGCGCAAGCCUGAUGGAGCAACACCGCGUGAGUGAAGAAGGGUUUCGGCUCGUAAAGCUCUGUUGUUAAAGAAGAAAACGUAUGAGAGUAACUGUUCAUACGUUGACGGUAUUUAACCAGAAAGUCACGGCUAACUACGUGCCAG